UGCUCAGGAUGAACGCUGGCGGCGUGCCUAAUACAUGCAAGUCGAGCGAACAGACGAGGAGCUUGCUCCUCUGACGUUAGCGGCGGACGGGUGAGUAACACGUGGGUAACCUACCUAUAAGACUGGGAUAACUCCGGGAAACCGGGGCUAAUACCGGAUAACACAUGAAACCGCAUGGUUUCAUGAUGAAAGACGGUUUUGCUGUCACUUAUAGAUGGACCCGCGGCGUAUUAGCUAGUUGGUAAGGUAACGGCUUACCAAGGCAACGAUACGUAGCCGACCUGAGAGGGUGAUCGGCCACACUGGAACUGAGACACGGUCCAGACUCCUACGGGAGGCAGCAGUAGGGAAUCUUCCGCAAUGGGCGAAAGCCUGACGGAGCAACGCCGCGUGAGUGAUGAAGGUCUUCGGAUCGUAAAACUCUGUUAUUAGGGAAGAACAAGGAUGUAAGUAACUGUGCAUCCCUUGACGGUACCUAAUCAGAAAGCCACGGCUAACUACGUGCCAGCAGCCGCGGUAAUACGUAGGUGGCAAGCGUUAUCCGGAAUUAUUGGGCGUAAAGCGCGCGUAGGCGGUUUAAGUCUGAUGUGAAAGCCCACGGCUCAACCGUGGAGGGUCAUUGGAAACUGGAAAACUUGAGUGCAGAAGAGGAAAGUGGAAUUCCAUGUGUAGCGGUGAAAUGCGCAGAGAUAUGGAGGAACACCAGUGGCGAAGGCGACUUUUCUGGUCUGCAACUGACGCUGAUGUGCGAAAGCGUGGGGAUCAAACAGGAUUAGAUACCCUGGUAGUCCACGCCGUAAACGAUGAGUGC
rnacentral:rRNA from 1 species